GUUUAGCUCAGCUGUUUAUAGAGCAUGGUGCUGAUAAUGUCAAGGUUGCAGGUUGGAUCUCUGUAAGGGCCA